CGAGUAUAUACAUUCGACAUCACGCGUGCGUCUUUCUCCUUUGCGAAUUUCUAUACGCGCACAAUAAUAAUAUCAUUAUUAUCAUGAAAUAACAUUACAUUAAAACGAAGAUAACUACACGCCAUUGUAAACGUCAUAUUUAUACGAGGUUACCGAGACGACAACGUCAUGUCACAAUGAAUAUUCAAUAUCUAUAUAGGUAUACACGCCUGGAUUAAGACAUUGUGCCCGUAGUUUGCGAAUAAAUAA